AUAUAUAUGCUAUUCGUACCGAAGAAAGUAACUGGGUAUUACCCUUAAUUUGUUACCGAGGAAUGAAACAUCAUUUAUAAGAUCUAUUCUAAUAGAUUAUUAGUGUGUUUUUAAUUAACCUCGGAAAUAACUUUUCGAGGUUUUAUUUUGAUUUU
rfam:Spiroplasma helicoides strain TABS-2, complete genome.